rnacentral:rRNA from 2 species
UGGGGAAUAUUGCACAAUGGGCGGAAGCCUGAUGCAGCGACGCCGCGUGGGGGAUGACGGCCUUCGGGUUGUAAACCUCUUUCAGUGCAGAACAAGGCUCUUUGUGGGUUGAGGGUAUGCGCAGAAGAAGCGCCGGCUAACUACGUGCCAGCAGCCGCGGUAAUACGUAGGGCGCGAGCGUUGUCCGGAUUUAUUGGGCGUAAAGAGCUCGUAGGCGGUUUGUCGCGUCUGCCGUGAAAUCCUCUGGCUUAACUGGGGGCGUGCAGUGGGUACGGGCGGACUGGAGUGCGGUAGGGGAGACUGGAAUUCCUGGUGUAGCGGUGGAAUGCGCAGAUAUCAGGAGGAACACCGGUGGCGAAGGCGGGUCUCUGGGCCGCAACUGACGCUGAGGAGCGAAAGCAUGGGGAGCGAACAGG